rnacentral:rRNA from 1 species
GAUGAACGCUAGCGGCAGGCUUAACACAUGCAAGUCGAGGGGUAGAAGGAGCUUGCUCCUUUGAGACCGGCGCACGGGUGCGUAACGCGUAUGCAAUCUACCUUUUGCAGAGGGAUAGCCCAGAGAAAUUUGGAUUAAUACCUCAUAGUAUGUGAGGAUGGCAUCAUUUUCACAUUAAAGUCACAACGGCAAAAGAUGAGCAUGCGUCCCAUUAGCUAGUUGGUAAGGUAACGGCUUACCAAGGCUACGAUGGGUAGGGGUCCUGAGAGGGAGA